rnacentral:misc_RNA from 1 species
CCCAAACGACUCGCCCGGCUUGAUCGGCCGACCGCCGAUUUCCUCGAUCAUGCAGACAUAACCUCGUUGGUGGCACCAGGCCUCGCAGACAUCGGCCGGAUUGAGCGUCAUACCCGCCAGCCACGGGCCUACCGUCCCGGAUUUCGGGUCGCGGAUUCGGUAGGCGCGAAUCAUGCGCUUCGGCAAUUUGAUCUCGUCACGGACGUACAAGAACCGCUCGUCCGGCGCGAAAUCCGUGGUGAACUCUUUGGCGGGGAUACGCCCGUGGUAACUCAAGUAGACUUCGCUGAACGUAUCGCCGCCCGUGUGCUUGAUGUGGCCCG